AUGCAUGUGUAAGCACAGCUAACUAGCGAAGCCGCGAAUGGCUCAUUAAAUCAUACGUAGGUUAAAGACCUUAUACAAAUUGGAUAACCCAGGUAAAUCUUGUGCUAAUACGUAACAACAAGCCCUUAUUUCAAGGGUGUUAUUUAUCAGUAAUAAGAUCAUCAAGGCGAAAGCUUUCUUUAGGGGUAUCAAAUAAAUUGAAACAUAGCUAGCUUCAAGCCCGCUAUAUUUUCAAUACACGUAUGACUUAUCAACUGUUACCGUGGCUUAUUAGUCCACUGUGGUUUUGACGAGUAACAGAGAAUCAG
rnacentral:rRNA from 1 species